CGUGAAUUUACGUUCGAUAACGUUCAUAAAAUUAAUGUUAGAUAUGGGGCUUGUUAAGCAUGCACAUUUUAAACUAGGGAUUUUGCUGUUGUUUCAAGCACUACACCUUACUGCGGAAGGACAUGCCCUCGGUUUUUGUCCACAAUGGCACCGACUUUCAUUGGAAGGAAUAUAACGUUCCAGUUAAAGCCAAAAUCACCUCUUUCAUACGAACAAUACGAAGUCUGUAAAUGGAAAGUACUAUUUAAACAAAGUUCAAAGGUCUACUCAAUCAACAGCGGAUAUAGCCUGUUCGAAUCUGACGGGAUGAAGAUGAUGGAACUGGACAGUGAUUAUGUGAACAGCAGCUGGGACGGGGCGGUAAUUAACGUGAAAUGCAAUGACCAGGAAUCGACUAUCAUUAAACUAAAAUUAGAAGAUUUCAAAAACGAGUGUGGGUAUCUCAACGUGCUUUCCUACCCAGAAGGACCAGGAGGCUACGGUCAGAUUGCAUACUUCCCAACUGCAAAGAUUCUGAGAAAUCCCGUCGGUUAUGCACGGAUAUGGGAGAGAAACGGCGUUGAUAUAACAUAUCUAGAAGGCGUUUAUGAAGAAAGAAAUGACAAACUUAAUUUCCAGUACAUUCUUUCCGUCUUUAAUUUCACCGGGCUACAUCGAUACAACGUUAUGUGUAAAGAACUCAAUACUGAAACUAACGAAAUUAUACUUUUCGAUGGUCGUCCAGUACUAAGUUCGCUCUGCAGUGUGGACAACUGUUCCAACUGUCUGUGUGUCAUACCAGGAGACAGGCUAAUAUGCACCACAUAUAGCAACAAUGUCUCGCUCUUGAUUGGUCACAUCAGAUUACAUCUUAAACGCACUAAACAUGACAGCCUGUUUACAUACACCACUAUGAAUUACACCAUCAGUGAGAAAGAUCAUCAGUCAACGGUCGUAUGCUCAGCGUCUUAUGACAUCAAAAAUGUGUUUACCGCUAAUGCCUCGAUUUACAUUUACAAUAAGAAACGUUCAUGCUGCCAAACAGCACGAGACAAACAAAUUUGAAUAAUUUGACCUAUGCGCAUUCGAAAAUAUUUCUGAAAAUAAAACACUGCAUCAAAAUUGUGUAAUAAUAUUGCGUACUUCUUGUUUACAUGCAACCCACUCUGGCUGGCAGGAAAAGACACACAAAGUAACACUUUGACAGAGGUACCGAAUCUGCUGAAGUCCAUUUUGAUCGGAGUGGGAGUUUCUGUGAUGGUCGUAUUUACAAUAAUAAUUGUGCUCUUCAUCAGGGAAUUUAGAAGACGCAAAGAAGGUAUUCCGAAAUUGAUUCCAAUGAGCACACAGGUAGAAGACACACCACUUCAACAAUUUGGACACGGACACCCAGGGAUCGGUUCAUAAUGGUACAAGUCAACACAAUUAUAGUAAAGUAGACUUAACUAUUGCGGAGAAUUCGUCUGAACAAGAAGAAGUAACUGCAACAAUUGAACAUCACUAUGACGAAAUCAAGGACGAACUUGGAGCUACACAGGCUUUAAAUCAGCUAACAAUUGUAAAUGAACAGAUUGCACACGCCAACAUCCAUUUCUCUGCAACGAUUGAACACAACUAUGAAGAUAUCGAGGACGAACUUGGUGCCACACAGGUUUUAUGUCAUCAAAGAAUUGUAAAUCAACAGGUGACACCAAAUGUGCGACCAUGCCGGGACCUAAUGUGUAUACGUAACCUGGAAGGCGCUGUUCGUUUUGAAAGCUCAGAACAACCCUUUGAACUAAAACCAAUCACUUCGUUAGCCAAUCCGGCGGCUUAUGAAGUUCUGAAGAGAUCUGAUAGUGAUCCAGGUCACAAAUAUACGAGUCUGAAGCCUCGUUGUACAUCAUCGCUUGAGAAAAAUUAUGUUAAUAUAAUAUAGCGUAUAUCAAGUAUGUGUGCGCGCACGUUAUUGAGCAUGAAGGCGUAUGCGAAUGAGCAUAUGUUUAUAUUUUCGAGCGUGCUUGCAAGUUCAUUUUUGUGCGUGCGUGCGAGGGAGUGGGCGCAUGAUAAUUUCUUUAUUACAAAACAAUGCAUUUGAAAAACUGAAAAUGUGAACACAAUAAUUUGCCAGUGAAUGCUAUCAUUUUGAUUUAAUCUGUUCUUAAUUAAGUAUUCUUAAUAAAGAACGCAUAUUCUAGAAACAAUUUUACAUUUUCGUAGCAUCGCCGGGUAAAAUUUCUCCAGUCCUGUACUCUAUUUAUCCAUGACUAAAAAGGAAAUUAACAUUACAAAUAUACACUUAAAAACAAUAACCGAUUGUUAGUAAAUUACAUGUUAGUUAAUUACAUGUUCCGAUAUUGCUCUCAAUAAAAGAUAAACAUAAAUGACCUAUCUUCUGAUUUACACUAUCAAACUUUCAAACUUGAUAAUCGCCCUAUGAUUGAAAAAAACAUUUGACCUUUGAUAACUAUCAAAAAUGUAGAAAUAUUUCAAAGAUCAUUUUAGGAAGAAAAUAGUAAGUAUAAUUGUUGUGUUGUUUUCCGUUAUUCGCUGUGUAUCCACCUCCUACAUAUGGGCUUUAAACAACAAUUUUGAUAAAACAUCGUAAUAAUGACUGACUGAUCUCGCGAAUCAUUUUUCGAAGUCAUAUCCAAGAUAAAUAUAUUUAAACAUGAGCUUUAAUUGGGCUUUAAAAUUAAUUCCAGGCGGUGAUCCCAGUU